AGAGAUGCCUUUCUUCCCUUCGGGGACCUACACACAGGUGCUGCAUGGCUGUCGUCAGCUCGUGUCGUGAGAUGUUGGGUUAAGUCCCGCAACGAGCGCAACCCUCGACUUUAGUUACCAUCAUUAAGUUGGGUACUUUAAAGUAACCGCCGGUGAUAAGCCGGAGGAAGGUGGGGAUGACGUCAAGUCCUCAUGGCCCUUACGCGCUGGGCUACACACGUGCUACAAUGGCAAGUACAGUGGGCAGCAAUCCCGCGAGGGUGAGCUAAUCUCCAAAACUUGUCUCAGUUCGGAUUGUUCUCUGCAACUCGAGAGCAUGAAGGCGGAAUCGCUAGUAAUCGCGGAUCAGCAUGCCGCGGUGAAUACGUUCCCAGGCCUU
rnacentral:rRNA from 1 species